rnacentral:rRNA from 1 species
CCUACGGGAGGCAGCAGUAGGGAAUCUUCCGCAAUGGACGAAAGUCUGACGGAGCAACGCCGCGUGAACGAUGAAGGCCUUCGGGUCGUAAAGUUCUGUUGUUAGGGAAGAACAAGUGCUAGUUGAAUAAGCUGGCACCUUGACGGUACCUAACCAGAAAGCCACGGCUAACUACGUGCCAGCAGCCGCGGUAAUACGUAGGUGGCAAGCGUUGUCCGGAAUUAUUGGGCGUAAAGCGCGCGCAGGCGGUUUCUUAAGUCUGAUGUGAAGGCCCCCGGCUCAACCGGGGAGGGUCAUUGGAAACUGGGAAACUUGAGUGCAGAAGAGGAAAGUGGAAUUCCAAGUGUAGCGGUGAAAUGCGUAGAGAUUUGGAGGAACACCAGUGGCGAAGGCGACUUUCUGGUCUGUAACUGACGCUGAGGCGCGAAAGCGUGGGGAGCAAACAGGAUUAGAUACCCUGGUAGUCCACGCUGUAAACGAUGAGUGCUAAGUGUUAGAGGGUUUCCGCCCUUUAGUGCUGAAGUUAACGCAUUAAGCACUCCGCCUGGGGAUACGGUCGCAAGACUGAAACUCAAAAUGAAUUGACGNUGAGAGNGCGAGAGACACAGGAGAG